ensembl:ncRNA lncRNA:CR44284 long non-coding RNA:CR44284
ACGACAUUUACGUAUAAAUAAUAUGAAUUUUAUUUAAUGAAAGUUAGUUCAGUGCGAUGUACUUUAACUGUCAAAGUUCAAAGCAUUCGUUUAAAUAUAAUACCUCAAAAUAUCGCAGGUUGAUAAACAUGGAGACUGCGUGCACAAAGAUAGUUGGCAUUGGAAUUUUAAGAUUGGCAACCUGGAUUGCGUGAUACGAUACUGCGGCGGCAGAGCGAUACUCUUACAGUUACCAUAGUAAAUAUGUACAUGCAUGUACAUAUGUACAUAUGCUUAUCAGUUUGCCCGGGCAAUUGUCAUGUAAAUUAAUCAGUCGGCCACAAACGUAAAGACACACAAACAACACUGCGGAGUGAAGUGGAGUGCAUUGCCUUGGCCAGCGAUGCGCCGAGGGAGUUGGAGCUCGAUUACAUAAGGAGGAUGCUCUGCGAGUGGCGUACAGCGAUCCCUCAAUGGACUCUGCACACGCUGCUUUGCGUAUUAUCGGUGGGUGGCAUGGAGUGUAGUGCCAGCUCAUAUCUUAUCACGCAAUGGAGUCGCCCAUAAAAGGGGGAGGAAGAGGAGGCGAGAGGGCCCUGAUUAGAUAGUGGCCGAAAUGCAAUAAGACCUUGUGAUUCAUCGAGCGAGCUACAUGCAUGUGCGAUGUGUAAAUGGGAAAUGCUGGAAAUGCCAGGCAGUAAUUAAAGAGCCCACACUUUCCUAGCUUGCUUCCAUAAUUGACCUUCAAACGUGACUUUGCCUAUGUCUGAUGAACCGAAUCCGUAGCCUACCUCCUUCCAAUCCGCAUUAUAGUUUCUCAACAGUAGCGGAUAUCUAUAGCCGGCUAACCCGGCAAUCACUUAAGUAGCUCAACACACCCACAUGGUUCCGUCCCCGAAUCCGACCCUUCUAUGUGGAAUGUGUAGUAUGACCAUAUCCGUAGCCCCGCUUCACAUUGUUUUGAUUUUAUCGUCUGGCUUGUAACUGAGCUGGGUAUCCAAUGAAAAAGCAAUUGUAAUUUCAUUACCAUUUAAUUGGUAAAAUUGGCAUUGGGAAAAUGGCAAUCGGUCGAUUGAAGAUUAGAAGCAAACUAAUUCUGAAAGGGAAAUUCAUUUUGUAGUG